rnacentral:rRNA from 1 species
CCUACGGGUGGCAGCAGUGGGGAAUAUUGGACAAUGGGGGCAACCCUGAUCCAGCCAUGCCACGUGUGUGAAGAAGGCCCUCGGGUUGUAAAGCACUUUCAGUGAGGAAGAACGCCUGGUGGUUAAUACCCAUCAGGAAAGACAUCACUCACAGAAGAAGCACCGGCUAACUCCGUGCCAGCAGCCGCGGUAAUACGGAGGGUGCGAGCGUUAAUCGGAAUUACUGGGCGUAAAGCGCGCGUAGGUGGCUUGAUAAGCCGGUUGUGAAAGCCCCGGGCUCAACCUGGGAACGGCAUCCGGAACUGUCAAGCUAGAGUGCAGGAGAGGAAGGUAGAAUUCCCGGUGUAGCGGUGAAAUGCGUAGAGAUCGGGAGGAAUACCAGUGGCGAAGGCGGCCUUCUGGACUGACACUGACACUGAGGUGCGAAAGCGUGGGUAGCAAACAGGAUUAGAUACCCGGGUAGUC